GACGAACGCUGGCGGCGUGCCUAAUACAUGCAAGUCGAGCGGACUGAUUAAGAGCUUGCUCUUAUGACGUUAGCGGCGGACGGGUGAGUAACACGUGGGCAACCUGCCCUGUAGAUCGGGAUAACACCGAGAAAUCGGUGCUAAUACCGGGUAAUAUCUGAGAUCACAUGAUCUUAGGUUAAAAGAUGGCUCCGGCUAUCACUACAGGAUGGGCCCGCGGCGCAUUAGCUAGUUGGUAAGGUAAUGGCUUACCAAGGCGACGAUGCGUAGCCGACCUGAGAGGGUGAUCGGCCACACUGGGACGGAGACACGGCCCAGACUCCUACGGGAGGCAGCAGUAGGGAAUCUUCCGCAAUGGACGAAAGUCUGACGGAGCAACGCCGCGUGAGUGAUGAAGGGUUUCGGCUCGUAAAGCUCUGUUGUUAGGGAAGAAACAGUACCGAACGAACUAGGUCGGUACCUUGACGGGACCUAACCAGAAAGCCACGGCUAACUACG
rnacentral:rRNA from 1 species